CAUUGAGACACAGCGCUUGGCACAGGAGGAGCAGGGUCAGGGCAAGUCCCAGGGCUCAGGCGUGGCUCUCGGGUUCUGAGGCCUGGAAGGCGGAGGAGAGAUUGGGGAGGCGCAGCGUUGGGGAUUCCCCAUCUCCGCAGCUUCUCUUCCUCUCCCAACCUGUGUCGGGUCCUUCUUCCUGGAUACUCACGACGCGGACCCAGUUCCCACUCCCAUUGGGUGCCGGGUUUCUAGAGAAGCCAAUCAGCGUCGCCGCGGUCCCGGUUCUAAAGUCCCCAGUCACCCACCGGGACUCAGAUUUUCCUCAGGCGCCGAGGAUGGCGGUCAUGUCGCCCCGAACCCUCCUCCUGCUGCUCUCGGGGGCCCUGGCCCUGACCCAGACCUGGGCGGGCUCCCACUCCAUGAGGUAUUUCUACACCUCCGUGUCCCGGCCCGGCCGCGGGGAGCCCCGCUUCAUCUCCGUGGGCUACGUGGACGACACGCAGUUCGUGCGGUUCGACAGUGACGCCGCGAUUCCGAGAGCUGAGCCGCGGGCGCCGUGGAUGGAGCAGGAGGGGCCGGAGUAUUGGGAGGAGCAGACACGGAUCUUCAAGGCCCAGGCACAGGCUGACCGAGUGAACCUGCGGACCCUGCUCGGCUACUACAACCAGAGCGAGGCCAGGUCUCACACGAUCCAGAGGAUGUACGGCUGCGACCUGGGGCCUGAGGGGCGCCUCCUCCGGGGUUACCGGCAGGACGCCUACGACGGCAAGGACUACAUCGCCCUGAACGAGGACCUGCGCUCCUGGACCGCCGCGGACAUGGCGGCUCAGAUCACCCAGCGCAAGUUCGAGGCGGCCAGUGUGGCUGAGAGGAUGAGACCCUACCUGGAGGGCGAGUGCCUGGAGUGGCUCCACAGACACCUAGAGAACGGGAAGGAGAUGCUGCAGCGCGCGGAGUCCCCCAAGACACACGUGACCCACCACCCCAUCUCUGACCAUGAGGCCACUCUGAGGUGCUGGGCCCUGGGCUUCUACCCUGCGGAGAUCACACUGACCUGGCAGCGGGAUGGGGAGGACCAGACCCAGGACAUGGAGCUCGUGGAAACCAGGCCUGCAGGGGAUGGAAACUUCCAGAAGUGGGCGGCUGUGGUGGUGCUUUCUGGAGAGGAGCCGAGAUACACAUGCCAUGUGCAGCAUGAGGGGCUGCCUGAGCCCCUCACCCUGAGAUGGGAGCCAUCUUCCCAGCCCACCAUCCCUAUUGUGGGCAUCAUUGCUGGCCUGGCUGUCCUUGGAGCUGUAGUCACUGGAACUGUGGUCGCUGCUGUGAUGUGGAGGAGGUAGAGCUCAGAUAAAAAAGGAGGAAGCUACUCUCAGGCUGCAAGCAGCGACAGUGCCCAGGGCUCUGAUGCGUCUCUCACAGCUUGUAAAGUGUGAGACAGGUCCCUUGUGUGGGACUGAGAGUCAUGAUUUAUCCACACGUUCUGUUUGUACCUUCAAGAACCCUGAUUUCUCUUACUGCAAAGGCAUCUGAAUGUGUCUGUGUCCCUGUAGGCAUAGUGUGAGGAGGUGGGGAGACCAGCCCAGCCCCGUGUCCACCAUGACCCCCUUCCCCACGCUGACCUGCAUUCCUUCCCUGGUCACCUUUCCUGUUCCAGAGACCUGGGGCUGGGAUGUCUCCAUCUCUGUCUCAACUUCAUGGUGCAGUGAGCUGUAACUUCUUAACUUUCCUAUUAAAAUUAGAAUCUGAAUGUAAUUUACUUCUUGAAAUUAUUUCCAUGAGACAUUGAUGGGUUAAUUAAAGGAAAAGAUUCCUGAAAUUUGAGAGACAAAAUAAAUGGAAGACCUGAGAACCUUCUACAGUC